rnacentral:rRNA from 1 species
UACGUAGGGUGCGAGCGUUAAUCGGAUUUACUGGGCGUAAAGCGUGCGCAGGCGGUUUGUUAAGCGAGAUGUGAAAGCCCCGGGCUCAACCUGGGAACCGCAUUUCGAACUGGCAAACUAGAGUCUUGUAGAGGGGGGUAGAAUUCCAGGUGUAGCGGUGAAAUGCGUAGAUAUUGGAAGGAAUACCGGUGGCGAAGGCGGCCACCUGGUCAGAAACUGACGCUGAGGUACGAAAGCGUGGGGAGCAAACAGG